rnacentral:rRNA from 1 species
GACGAACGCUGGCGGCGUGCUUAAUACAUGCAAGUCGAACGGACCGAUUCCGGGAGUUUACUCUUGGGGAAGGUUAGUGGCGGACGGGUGAGUAACGCGUGGGCAAUCUGCCCCUAAGUCGGGGAUACCAGGGCGAAAGUUCGGCUAAAACCGGAUACUCUUAACUAGCCGCAUGGUUGAUAUAGGAAAGGGAACGCUUAGGGUUGAGCGCGCGUCCCUUUGCCUGGUGGGGGGGGUAACGGCCAACCAAGGCAACGACGGGUAGACGGCCUGAGAGGGGGGGCGCACACACUGGGGCUGGGACGCGGCCCAGAAUCCUGCAGAAUGGAGCAGUAGGGAAUUCUCGGCUAUGGGCGAAAGGAUGAACGAGCAACGCCGCGUGAGCGACGAAGGUCUGAGGAUAGUACACCUGUGUCAUCGCGGACGAUAAUGACGGUACUCGAGGAGGAAGCACCGGCUAACUACGUG